rnacentral:rRNA from 2 species
AGAGUUUGAUCCUGGCUCAGAUUGAACGCUGGCGGCAGGCCUAACACAUGCAAGUCGAGCGGUAACACAGGGAGCUUGCUCCCGGGUGACGAGCGGCGGACGGGUGAGUAAUGUCUGGGAAACUGCCUGAUGGAGGGGGAUAACUACUGGAAACGGUAGCUAAUACCGCAUAAUGUCGCAAGACCAAAGAGGGGGACCUUCGGGCCUCUUGCCAUCAGAUGUGCCCAGAUGGGAUUAGCUAGUAGGUGGGGUAAUGGCUCACCUAGGCGACGAUCCCUAGCUGGUCUGAGAGGAUGACCAGCCACACUGGAACUGAGACACGGUCCAGACUCCUACGGGAGGCAGCAGUGGGGAAUAUUGCACAAUGGGCGCAAGCCUGAUGCAGCCAUGCCGCGUGUAUGAAGAAGGCCUUCGGGUUGUAAAGUACUUUCAGCGGGGAGGAAGGCGAUAAGGUUAAUAACCUUGUCGAUUGACGUUACCCGCAGAAGAAGCACCGGCUAACUCCGUGCCAGCAGCCGCGGUAAUACGGAGGGUGCAAGCGUUAAUCGGAAUUACUGGGCGUAAAGCGCACGCAGGCGGUCUGUCAAGUCGGAUGUGAAAUCCCCGGGCUCAACCUGGGAACUGCAUUCGAAACUGGCAGGCUAGAGUCUUGUAGAGGGGGGUAGAAUUCCAGGUGUAGCGGUGAAAUGCGUAGAGAUCUGGAGGAAUACCGGUGGCGAAGGCGGCCCCCUGGACAAAGACUGACGCUCAGGUGCGAAAGCGUGGGGAGCAAACAGGAUUAGAUACCCUGGUAGUCCACGCCGUAAACGAUGUCGACUUGGAGGUUGUGCCCUUGAGGCGUGGCUUCCGGAGCUAACGCGUUAAGUCGACCGCCUGGGGAGUACGGCCGCAAGGUUAAAACUCAAAUGAAUUGACGGGGGCCCGCGCAAGCGGUGGAGCAUGUGGUUUAAUUCGAUGCAACGCGAAGAACCUUACCUACUCUUGACAUCCAGAGAACUUUCCAGAGAUGGAUUGGUGCCUUCGGGAACUCUGAGACAGGUGCUGCAUGGCUGUCGUCAGCUCGUGUUGUGAAAUGUUGGGUUAAGUCCCGCAACGAGCGCAACCCUUAUCCUUUGUUGCCAGCGGUCCGGCCGGGAACUCAAAGGAGACUGCCAGUGAUAAACUGGAGGAAGGUGGGGAUGACGUCAAGUCAUCAUGGCCCUUACGAGUAGGGCUACACACGUGCUACAAUGGCGCAUACAAAGAGAAGCGACCUCGCGAGAGCAAGCGGACCUCAUAAAGUGCGUCGUAGUCCGGAUUGGAGUCUGCAACUCGACUCCAUGAAGUCGGAAUCGCUAGUAAUCGUAGAUCAGAAUGCUACGGUGAAUACGUUCCCGGGCCUUGUACACACCGCCCGUCACACCAUGGGAGUGGGUUGCAAAAGAAGUAGGUAGCUUAACCUUCGGGAGGGCGCUUACCACUUUGUGAUUCAUGACUGGGGUGAAGUCGUAACAAGGUAGCCGUA